rnacentral:misc_RNA from 1 species
AAGUCGUAACAAGGUUUCCGUAGGUGAACCUGCGGAAGGGUCAUUACAAGUGAGGCUACCGAACGCUGGAAACAGCGGUUAGGAGCUUACACCCACCCGUGUUUACAUACUAUUGUUGCUUUGGCGGGCCGUGGCCUCCACUGCGGGCUCUGCUCGUGUGUGCCCGCCAGAGGACCAAACUCUGAAUGUUAGUGAUGACUGAGUACUAUCUAAUAGUUAAAA